rnacentral:rRNA from 1 species
CCUACGGGUGGCAGCAGUGGGGAAUAUUGCACAAUGGGCGCAACCCUGAUGCAGCGACGCCGCGUGAGCGAUGAAGUCUUUCGGUAUGUAAAGCUCUAUCAGCAGGGAAGAAAAUGACGGUACCUGACUCCGAAGCCCCGGCUAACUACGUGCCAGCAGCCGCGGUAAUACGGAGGGGGCAAGCGUUCUCCGGAUUUACUGGGUGUAAAGGGAGCGUAGACGGCGAUGCAAGCCAGAUGUGAAAGCCCGGGGCUCAACCCCGGGACUGCAGUUGAAACUGGAUAGCUGGAGUGUCGGAGAGGCAGGCGGAAUUCGUGGUGUAGCGGUGAAAUGCGUAGAUAUUAGGAGGAACACCAGUGGCGAAGGCGGCCUGCUGGACGAUGACUGACGUUGAGGCUCGAAAGCGUGGGGAGCAAACAGGAUUAGAUACCCUAGUAGUC